GAUGAACGCUGGCGGCGUGCCUAAUACAUGCAAGUCGAGCGAACAGACGAGGAGCUUGCUCCUUUGACGUUAGCGGCGGACGGGUGAGUAACACGUGGGUAACCUACCUAUAAGACUGGGAUAACUUCGGGAAACCGGAGCUAAUACCGGAUAAUAUUUCGAACUGCAUGGUUCGAUAGUGAAAGAUGGCUUUGCUAUCACUUAUAGAUGGACCUGCGCCGUAAUUAGCUAGUUGGUAAGGUAACGGCUUACCAAGGCAACGAUACGUAGCCGACCUGAGAGGUGAUCGGCCACACUGGAACUGAGACACGGUCCAGACUCCUACGGGAGGCAGCAGUAGGGAAUCUUCCGCAAUGGGCGAAAGCCUGACGGAGCAACGCCGCGUGAGUGAUGAAGGUCUUCGGAUCGUAAAACUCUGUUAUUAGGGAAGAACAAACGUGUAAGUAAACUGUGCACGUCUUGACGGUACCUAAUCAGAAAGCACGGCUAACUACGUGCCAGC
rnacentral:rRNA from 1 species